UAGAGUUUGAUCCUGGCUCAGGAUGAACGCUGGCGGUCUGCUUAACACAUGCAAGUCGAACGCAACCUUCGGGUUGAGUGGCGGACGGGUGAGUAACGCGUGAGAAUCUGCCUUGGGGUCGGGGACAACCACUGGAAACGGUGGCUAAUACCGGAUAAGCCUUUGGGUAAAAGAUUUAUUGCCCCAAGAGGAGCUCGCGUCUGAUUAGCUAGUUGGUGAGGUAAAAGCUCACCAAGGCAGCGAUCAGUAGCUGGUCUGAGAGGACGAUCAGCCACACUGGGACUGAGACACGGCCCAGACUCCUACGGGAGGCAGCAGUGGGGAAUUUUCCGCAAUGGGCGAAAGCCUGACGGAGCAAGACCGCGUGAGGGAGGAAGGCUCUUGGGUUGUAAACCUCUUUUCUCAGGGAAGAAGCUCUGACGGUACCUGAGGAAUCAGCCUCGGCUAACUCCGUGCCAGCAGCCGCGGUAAUACGGAGGAGGCAAGCGUUAUCCGGAAUUAUUGGGCGUAAAGCGUCCGCAGGUGGCGAUUCAAGUCUGCUGUCAAAGCACGGGGCUUAACUCCGUUAAGGCAGUGGAAACUGAAUAGCUAGAGUGCCGUAGGGGUAGAGGGAAUUCCCGGUGUAGCGGUGAAAUGCGUAGAGAUCGGGAAGACAUCGGUGGCGAAAGCGCUCUACUGGACGGCAACUGACACUCAGGGACGAAAGCUAGGGAGCGAAUGGGAUUAGAUACUCCAGUAGUCUAGCUGUAAACGAUGGAUACUAGGUGUAGC
rnacentral:rRNA from 1 species